GGUGUGUAAUCAUGACUUAGAAUCAGAGUACUUGCCUAAAAAAACACUUGGAGUUGUGUAAAUCCUUCGUCUCGGAGAUCCUCUUUAUGUAGCUACCCUGAAUCCUGUAGCUACCGUGAAUCAUCUCUCUCAAGUUCAAAGUUCCAUAAAUCUUUAGGGCAGGGGAAAAAUGCUGCCAGUCUCUUUGCUAAAACAUAGCAAAUCACCUUUGCUCCAGUUCUUCAUUUCCAUCUUAGCCUACCUCAGCCUGGACCAUAUUGUUCAUAUCACUUAUCAGCAUUUUUUGUCAAAGUUAUUCAGCAAGUCUCUCAGAAGUUCCAAACUUUCCCACAUUUUCCUAUUUUCUUCUCAGCCCUCCAAUAGCCCUGACUAUUGUAUUAGUCCAUUUUCUAUCUAGUAAUAAAGUCAUACCUGAGACUAAGAAGAAAAAGAGGUUUAAUGGACUUACAGUUCCACAUGGCUGGGGAAGCCUCACAAUCAUGGCAGAAAGCAAGGAGUCACAUCUUAUAUGGAUGGUGGUAGGCAAAGAGAGAGCUUGUGCAGGGAAACUCCCGUUUUUUAAACCAUCAGAUCUCUUGAGAUUCUUUCACUAUCACGAGAACAGUGCAGGAAAGACCUGCCUCCAUAAUUCAAUACCUCCCACUGGAUUCCUCCCAUGACAUGUGGUAAUUUUGUGAGUUACAAUUCAAGAUGAUAUUUAGGUGGGACACAGCCAAACAAUAUCACCCAGUCUUGGGAAGUUCAUUAUAGUAGUGUAAGAAUGUACUAUUACAGUAAACUGGUACUGAGGUAGUGGGGUACUGCUAUAAAGAUACUUGAGGCUGGGUGUGAUGGCUCACGCCUGUAAUCCCAGAACUUUGGGAGGCUGAGUCGGAUGGAUCAUGAGGUCAGGAGAUCGAGACCUUCCUGGCUAACAUGGUGGAACUCCAUCUCUACUAAAAAUACAAAAAAUUAGCCAGGUGUGGUGGUGGGCGCCUGUAGUCCCAGCUACUCGGAAGGCUGAGGCAGGAGAAUGGCCUGAACCUGGAAGGCAGAGCUUGCAGUGAACCGAGAUCUCGCCACUGCACUCCAGCCUGGGCGACAGAGUGAGACUGUCUCAAAAACAAAAACAAACAAACAAAAAAUAGAUACUUGAAAAUGUGGAAGUGACUUUGGAACUGGGUAACAGGCUGAGAUUAGAAGAGUUUGAAAUACUCAGAAGAAGAUAGAAAUAUGUAGGAAAGUUUGGGACUUCCUAGA
rnacentral:lncRNA from 1 species